GGCCUUUUGAGUAUAAUUUAAGGUCUAGCCUGCCCACUGAGUUAUUAAAUGGCCGCGGUAUCAUGACCGUGCAAAGGUAGCAUAAUCAUUAGUUUUUUAAUUGAAAGCUGGUAUGAAUGGUUGGAUGAGAAAAUUACUGUCUCUGUUUUAUUUGAAUGAAUUUUAUUUUUAAGUAAAAAAGCUUAAAUAAUUUUAAAAGACGAGAAGACCCUAUAGAGUUUUAUAAAGUUUUAUUUAGAUUAUUUUUAGUAUUAUGGGCCUUUAAAUGGAAUUUUAUUUGAUUGGGGUGAUUGAAAAAUUUAAGAAACUUUUUUUUUAUUAAAACAUGAAUUAAUGAUUAGUUGAUCCGUGAAGAUAUGAUUAUAAGAUUAAAUUACCUUAGGGAUAACAGCGUAAUUAUUAUUUAGAGUUCAAAUCGAAAUAAUAGCUUGCGACCUCGAUGUUGGAUUAAAAUUUAUUUUUGGUGCAGAAGUUAAAAAUAUUAGGUCUGUUCGACCUUUAAAAUUU
rnacentral:rRNA from 1 species